UCAAACGCCUGUUCUCGUACAAUCACUGAAGUUAAGUGACGUCGGAUCUGAUCAGUAUGUAAAUGGGUGACCGCUUGGGAAUGCCAGGUGUUGUAAG